UGCUCUCUUCCGUGCCAUUGGUUUCCCAUUUUAUCACAUUUAGUAGGGCGCCUCUCAGCGCAUUUGUAAAUAUGACAAGUCACCAUUCAUUUUUUACACUUAUUAGCAUUGUCUCAUUUUUUUCUUGUUUUUCUUCUUUUUCCUUCUAAGGAAAGUUCUUUGUUUCAGCUCUUUCUGUUCAGAGUUAGAGAACAGGGCUCAGCACAUAUUGCCUUGGAGACUGCACGUGGCUGGUCAUUGUUGGUGGUGCACUGCUCUGUGAUGCAUGGACUUCAGCGGAUCGUUUGUACGGUGUCACAGAGCGAUUGAUUCUGGUGGUGGUGAUGGCGGUGCGGCGGUGAAGGGGGGUGGUCAGGCCCCCCGCAGUCUGCAGGGAGAAGGAGUGGGAGCCAGGCGCUGAGCUGGAGGGCGGUACUGAGGGUCACAACACAUUGUUUCCCCCUCUCAAUCCGUCUGGAACCUGUCACACACUCGUAAUGGAUGGCAAACGAAGGACGGUGAAGAAAGGAAAGAGGGGGAGGAAGUGGAGAGAAAGAGCAGUUAGAGAUUCUUUUAGAUUUGAAAGUGACAAAUGAAAAAUCAAUCAGCUCCUAAAUCUUUUUUUAUAUUAUUUCAACUUUUUACAAUCUUUUAGGUUUUAUCCAAAUUUGUUUGAAUCAAACUCCUUUACACGUUUUAAUGUUCCACUGAACUACAUGUGAUUUAAGUGAAAUUAAAAUAAAUAUAGUUAAAAAUA